AGUGAACGCUGGCGGUAGGCCUAACACAUGCAAGUCGAACGGCAGCACAGGAGAGCUUGCUCUCUGGGUGGCGAGUGGCGGACGGGUGAGGAAUACAUCGGAAUCUACUUUUUCGUGGGGGAUAACGUAGGGAAACUUACGCUAAUACCGCAUACGACCUACGGGUGAAAGCAGGGGACCUUCGGGCCUUGCGCGAUUGAAUGAGCCGAUGUCGGAUUAGCUAGUUGGCGGGGUAAAGGCCCACCAAGGCGACGAUCCGUAGCUGGUCUGAGAGGAUGAGCAGCCAAACUGGACAUGAGACACGGGCCAGACUCCUACGGGAGGCAGCAGUGGGGAAUAUUGGACAAUGGGCGCAAGCCUGAUCCAGCCAUACCGCGUGGGUGAAGAAGGCCUUCGGGUUGUAAAGCCCUUUUGUUGGGAAAGAAAUCCAGCUGGCUAAUACCCGGUUGGGAUGACGGUACCCAAAGAAUAAGCACCGGCUAACUUCGUGCCAGCCGCCGCUGUAA
rnacentral:rRNA from 1 species